rnacentral:rRNA from 1 species
UACGUAGGGUGCAAGCGUUGUUCGGAUUUACUGGGCGUAAAGGGCGCGUAGGCGGUCAGCACAAGUCAGUUGUGAAAUCUCCGGGCUUAACUCGGAAAGGUCAACUGAUACUGUGCGACUAGAGUGCGGAAGGGGCAACUGGAAUUCUCGGUGUAGCGGUGAAAUGCGUAGAUAUCGAGAGGAACACCUGCGGCGAAGGCGGGUUGCUGGGCCGACACUGACGCUGAUGCGCGAAAGCCAGGGGAGCGAACGGG